GAUGAACGCUGGCGGCGUGCCUAAUACAUGCAAGUCGAGCGAACAAAGGAGGUACUUGUUCCUCUGGCAUGAGCGGCGGACGGGUGAGUAACACGUGGGGAACCUGCCUAUAAGCCGGGGAUAACUUCUGGAAACCAAUGCUAAUACCGCAUAAUAUCUUUAAACACAUGUUUCAAGAUUGAAAGACGCUUUUGCUUUACCUUAAGAUGGGACCGCGUCGUAUUAGGUUUUUGGUAAGGUAAAGGCUCUCCAAGGCAAAGUUACGUAACCGACCUGAGAGGGUGAUCGGCCAAAUUGGACUUGAGAACCGGUCAAGCCUCUAACGGGAGGCAGCAGUAGGGAAUCUUCCGAAAUGGCCGAAAUCUUGCCGGAGAAACGCCGCGUGAGGGAUGAAGUUCUUCGGAUCGUAAACCUCUGUUAUUAGGGAAGACGAAAGGUGUAAGUAACUAUGCACGUCUUGACGGUACCUAAUCAGAAAGCCACGGCUAACUACGUG
rnacentral:rRNA from 1 species